rnacentral:rRNA from 1 species
CCCAGCCUACGGGACGCAGCAGUCGGGAAUAUUGCGCAAUGGAGGAAACUCUGACGCAGUGACGCCGCGUAUAGGAAGAAGGUCUUCAGAUUGUAAACUAUUGUCGUUAGGGAAGAAAAAGGACAGUACCUAAGGAGGAAGCUCCGGCUAACUACGUGCCAGCAGCCGCGGUAAUACGUAGGGAGCGAGCGUUAUCCGGAUUUAUUGGGUGUAAAGGGUGCGUAGACGGGAAUUUAAGUUAGUUGUGAAAUCCCUCGGCUCAACUGAGAAACUGCAACUAAAACUGGAUUUCUUGAGUGCUGGAG